rnacentral:RNase_P_RNA from 1 species
ACAAUCGCGGCUGCCCGAGAUGAGGGCAGAUGAGGAAAGUCCGGGCUCCACAGGGCAGUGUGCUGGAUAACGUCCAGCGGGGGUGACCCCAGGGAAAGUGCCAUAGAAAAGGAAACCGCCGGCUUGCCGGUAAGGGUGGAAAGGUGCGGUAAGAGCGCACCGGCGAUCGGGUGACCGGUCGGCCAGGUAAACCCCACACGGAGUAAGACCGAAUAGGGAAGGGAUGAUGCGGCCCGCGGAACCUUCCGGGUUGCGUCGCUUGAGCCGGCAGGCAACUGCCGUGCCUAGAUAAAUGAUUGUCACCGCGUAAGCGGAACAGAACUCGGCUUACUGAUU